UACUUUGAAUCGGGGCUUGUACUUCUCUUUCCCUUUCAUGCUUCUAUCAUCAUCGACUUGCAAAGAUCGAUUAUUAGAAAUUCUGAAAAACGACGAUCGAUUAUCAGAAAUUCUGAAAAACGAUGAUCGAUUGAAGGUCUUCCGGUGAAGCAAUCUUGGCCAUGGGAAAGAAGAAGAUGCACAUGAAUUUUUAAGAUAAAGUGACUUAUACUUUUGCAUUUAUUAUUUAUGCCAUUUAAAUUGAUGUAAUAGUCUCUUAGUGAGUUGACUCAGUUGACUCAGUUAUCAAGUGAUGUUAUUACAGGUAUGCUAUUGAUACUUUGCAAUCCGCCAGUCUUAAGGAAGCUGGAACAAAAUCUUCCAACUCCUUAGAAGAAGAAACAACUCUAAUCGCACUUACAUUUGGUGGUUAUCUGAGAUCUAAGAUAAAGUGCAUGAAAUGUGGUGGAAAAUCAUAGCGACAUGAGCGGAUGAUGGAUCUCACUGUUGAAAUUGAAGGUGAUAUAGCAACUCUUGAAGAAGCUUACAUGCACUGAAGUACUAGAUGGUGAAAAAAAGUACAAAUGCAGCAGGUGUAAAUCCUAUGAGAAAGCCAAAAAGGAAUUGACAUUGUUGGAAGCGCCAAACGUGCUUACCAUUGCAUUAAAGCGAUUUCAGUCUGGUAAAAAAAAUCCACUGUGGUGUGAAGUUCAUGUAACAUGACCAUUUUGCCCCUAAAAUCACCUUUGAUGUUGGUUGGAUGCUCUGUUGGGGGUAUGGUAGACAUGGAUCUUGACAACAUCAGAGUAUUCCCUCAUUUAUUGAGUCUCUAGCUGUUAAGAAAGAUGUCCAUAUUGCUUCUGGAGGUUCUUCAUCAGCUGUUGUAACUGGGACAUAUCCUUUAGCAUUUGGAACAAGCCAGUGGUGUUUUUGUUUGCUACUUUUCAGACUGAACUAACCAUUUCAAAUGAGACUAAAUGAGGGAACCGAAGGAAAAUCACUUUUUCGAAGAGUAGAUAAAGGUUUGGCUUAAUUUCGUAGAUGAGGUUAAUGGAUUUGAUUUUCGCAAAUGGUGGCAGCGCUUGCUGAUAAAAAGUGACAACUAAAAUGAAUUAUUUGACCAUGUGAUAGUACUGCCAUUGUAAUUGCCCUUGAAGGAAAAAUGAUCAGAUUUGGAUUGUUGGUUGUAGCAUUUAAAACUUAUUUCCAGGUGGCACCUUCAAACGACAGUAUUUUUUGUGUUUUGUACUCUUUAUAGGUUGAACAAUAUACUAUGAUUGAUUCAUCAUUAAGACCACCGUCUGAGGUAAGGAAAACUACCUUGGUUGUGAUUAAAAUUGUGAUAAUAGAUUUUAUUGUUAAAGAGUUUGAAAGAAUUGUAAUCUAUCACAUUUUUCUUUCAAAAGAAAUAGAAUGAAAUCCAAUUCAAUCCCACAAAGCGGGUUCUUC